rnacentral:ncRNA from 1 species
UGGUCCCAGCCUUGAAGUCAAUCCUUACUUAAUAUACACAUGCAAGUCUCCGCCCCCCUGUGAAAACGCCCUUAACCCCUCUAAGGGGCCAGGAGCUGGUAUCAGGCGCAAAGAUUAGCCCAAGACACCUAGCUAUGCCACACCCACAAGGGAUCUCAGCAGUGAUUAACAUUGAAAAUAAGCGACAGCUUGAAUCAGUUAAAGUAAAAAGAGCCGGCAAAUCUGGUGCCAGCCGCCGCGGUUACACCACGUGGCUCAAAUUGACCUCUUCCGGCGUAAAGCGUGAUUAAAGUGAACUUCAUAACUGCAAUUAAAUUAAGGUUAGGCUGUGACACGCGUACCCCCAAGAAGCCCAAGAACGAAAGUCAUUGCAACUAACUUGAACUCACGACAGUUAAGACACAAACUGGGAUUAGAUACCCCACUAUGCCUAACUGUAAACCCUUAAUUACAUCCCAUAUCGCCAGGGAACUACGAGCAAAGCUUAAAACCCAAGGGACUUGACGGUACCCCACAUCCACCUAGAGGAGCCUGUCCUAUAAUCGAUAACCCCCGCUUUACCUCACCAUUUUUAGCUUAUCAGCCUGUAUACCUCCGUCGUCAGCUUACCUCGUGAGCGCCAAUUAGUGAGCUCAAUGCCCAUACACCAAUACGUCAGGUCAAGGUGCAGCACAUGAAAUGGAAAGAGAUGGGCUACACUAUCUAAACUAGAUGAUACGAAAAACUACUUAUGAAACCUAGUCAGAAGGCGGAUUUAGAAGUAAGAAGGGACCAAAAUGCCCUCCUUAACCCGGCACUGGGGUGUGUACACACCGCCCGUCACCCUCUUCAAAGCCCUCACCCUCACAGUUAAUAACACAACUAGGCAUUUCAGAAGAGGCAAGUCGUAACAUGGUAAGUAUACCGGAAGGUGUGCUUGGUAA